UACGUAGGGCCCGAGCAUUAUCCGGAAUUAUUGGGCGUAAAGAGCGUGUAGGUGUUCCUACAAGUCGGUCGUUAAAUCUCAGAGCUCAACUCUGAGGCCGCGAGCGAAACUGUAGGAAUUGAGGUUUACAGGGGCAAGCAGAAUUUCUGGAGUAGGGGUGAAAUCCGUUGAUACCAGAAGGAAUACCAAUGGCGAAGGCAGCUUGCUGGGUAAUACCUGACACUGAGACGCGAAAGCGUGGGGAGCAAACGGG
rnacentral:rRNA from 1 species